rnacentral:tRNA from 1 species
ACCUGGGUGGCUUAGUUGGUUAAGCAUCUGACUUUGGCUCAGGUCAUGAUCUCCUGGUUUGUGGGUUCAAGCCCCACGUCGGGCU